GUCCACGCCGUAAACGGUGGGUGCUAGGUGUGAGCGGUAUUCCACGCCGUUCGUGCCGCAGCUAACGCAUUAAGCACCCCGCCUGGGGAGUACGGCCGCAAGGCUAAAACUCAAAGGAAUUGACGGGGGCCCCGCACAAGCAGCGGAGCAUGUGGCUUAAUUCGACGCAACGCGAAGAACCUUACCAAGGCUUGACAUGCAGGGAAAUCCUCCAGAGAUGGGGGGUCCGCAAGGGUCCUGCACAGGUGGUGCAUGGUUGUCGU
rnacentral:rRNA from 1 species